rnacentral:lncRNA from 1 species
CGGAAACGGAGGAGAGCGCGGGGGAUGUGUUUGGCAUGGGGACGCACUGUUACAGUUGCGCUCCUGGUUGGCUUUGUGUUUCCGCGGUGUUGGUAGAGUCUCGGUGUUUCUACCUCUUAGCACCCUUUCCUGCCACCCUUUGUCCUGUGGAAGCCCGGAGACAUCAGCGGCUGCAAUUUUGCUACUCGCUGCUCGGCAUGGAACGGACAAAAAAUAAUAUCCAAAGAUAUUUUGGCACUAACAGCGCUAUCUGUAGCAAGAAAGUUGAGCAGUGUGAACUGUUGAGACUUCCAAGAAGACUUCAGAGAACCAAGACAGUGUAAAGGAAAACAGGAAAAAAGACUUGUUAGACAUUAUUAAGGGCACGAAAGUUGAAUUGAGCACAGUAAAUGUACAAACAACAAAGCCACCCAACAGAAGUCCACUUAAAAGCUACAACUGGCCCGCCUCAAAGAGCUACAGAGCAUGCUCCAAAGAAGAGAAAUGAGCCCGUGAGUCCUGAGUUGGUGGCAGCUGCAUCUGCUGCUCUGUUUUGACAAGCAAACAAGCCAGAACUGCUCAGGCAGCUCCGUAGCAUGAGGAAGAGUCAGGGGCACAGAGAGAUGGAGAGAGACCUAGUUAGAGAGCGAACCAUGUGCUGGAUUUAGCCAGUCCUGCAUUUUUCUAUACUUCAAAUCAAAACGGGCCAUGCUUCACAUCUACCCAUGAUGAAUAGGGGUACUUUGAUUAAGAAU